rnacentral:rRNA from 1 species
GACGAACGCUGGCGGCGUGCUUAACACAUGCAAGUCGAGCGGGGAGAUUGCCUUCGGGUGAUCUUCUAGCGGCGGACGGGUGAGUAACGCGUGAGCAACCUUUCCUCUACUGGGGAAUAACACCGGGAAACUGGUACUAAUACCGCAUGAGACCACAGAGCGGCAUCGCUUAGGGGUCAAAGAUUUAUUGGUAGAGGGUGGGCUCGCGUCUGAUUAGCUAGUUGGUGAGGUAACGGCCCACCAAGGCAACGAUCAGUAGCCGGCCUGAGAGGGUGAACGGCCACAUUGGGACUGAGACACGGCCCAAACUCCUACGGGAGGCAGCAGUGGGGAAUAUUGCACAAUGGGGGAAACCCUGAUGCAGCGACGCCGCGUGAGUGAAGAAGUAUUUCGGUAUGUAAAGCUCUAUCAGCAGGGAAGAAAACGACGGUACCUGACUAAGAAGCCCCGGCUAAAUACGUG